rnacentral:rRNA from 1 species
AUUGAACGCUGGCGGUAUGCUUAAGACAUGCAAGUCGAACGGUAGCAGGACUAGCUUGCUAGUUGCUGACGAGUGGCGGACGGGUGAGUAACGCGUGGGAAUCUGCCCAGUAGCGGGGGAUAGCCCGGAGAAAUCCGGAUUAAUACCGCAUACGCCCUACGGGGGAAAGGCUUCGGCCACUAUUGGAUGAGCCCGCGUUAGAUUAGCUUGUUGGUGAGGUAAAGGCUCACCAAGGCGACGAUCUAUAGCUGGUCUGAGAGGAUGAUCAGCCACAUCGGGACUGAGACACGGCCCGGACUCCUACGGGAGGCAGCAGUCGGGAAUAUUGGGCAAUGGGCGAAAGCCUGAUCCAGCAAUACCGCGUGUGUGAAGAAGGCCUGCGGGUUGUAAAGCACUUUCGCUAGGGAAGAUAAUGACGGUACCUAGAUAAGAAGCACCGGCUAACUCCGUGCCAGCAGCCGCGGUAAUACGGAGGGUGCAAGCGUUAAUCGGAAUUACUGGGCGUAAAGCGCGCGUAGGCGGCUUGUUAAGUCAGAUGUGAAAGCCCUGGGCUCAACCUGGGAACUGCAUCUGAUACUGGCAGGCUAGAGUUUGUGAGA